rnacentral:rRNA from 1 species
UACGUAGGGGGCGAGCGUUGUCCGGAUUUAUUGGGCGUAAAGAGCUCGUAGGCGGUUUGUCGCGUCUGCCGUGAAAGUCCGGGGCUCAACUCCGGAUCUGCGGUGGGUACGGGCAGACUAGAGUGAUGUAGGGGAGACUGGAAUUCCUGGUGUAGCGGUGAAAUGACGCAGAUAUCAGGAGGAACACCGAUGGCGAAGGCAGGUCUCUGGGCAUUAACUGACGCUGAGGAGCGAAAGCAUGGGGAGCGAACAGG